AUGAACGCUGGCGGCGUGCCUAAUACAUGCAAGUCGAGCGAACAGACGAGGAGCUUGCUCCUCUGACGUUAGCGGCGGACGGGUGAGUAACACGUGGAUAACCUACCUAUAAGACUGGGAUAACUUCGGGAAACCGGAGCUAAUACCGGAUAAUAUAUUGAACCGCAUGGUUCAAUAGUGAAAGAUGGUUUUGCUGUCACUUAUAGAUGGAUCCGCGCCGCAUUAGCUAGUUGGUAAGGUAACGGCUUACCAAGGCAACGAUGCGUAGCCGACCUGAGAGGGUGAUCGGCCACACUGGAACUGAGACACGGUCCAGACUCCUACGGGAGGCAGCAGUAGGGAAUCUUCCGCAAUGGGCGAAAGCUUGACGGAGCAACGCCGCGUGAGUGAUGAAGGUCUUCGGAUCGUAAAACUCUGUUAUUAGGGAAGAACAAAUGUGUAAGUAACUAUGCACGUCUUGACGGUACCUAAUCAGAAAGCCACGGCUAACUACGUG
rnacentral:rRNA from 1 species